UACGUAGGGUGCAAGCGUUGUCCGGAAUUAUUGGGCGUAAAGAGCUCGUAGGCGGUCUGUCGCGUCUGCUGUGAAAAUCCGGGGCUCAACCCCCGGACUUGCAGUGGGUACGGGCAGACUAGAGUGUGGUAGGGGAGACUGGAAUUCCUGGUGUAGCGGUGAAAUGCGCAGAUAUCAGGAGGAACACCGAUGGCGAAGGCAGGUCUCUGGGCCACUACUGACGCUGAGAAGCGAAAGCAUGGGGAGCGAACAGG
rnacentral:rRNA from 1 species